rnacentral:ncRNA from 2 species
UAACAUGCGCGGGCUUGAGGUGAUUGCCGGCCCCGCCGGCGAUUGAAACGGGAAUCCGGUGCGCCAGUCCUUCCAACGAAGCGACGGCUAUUCCGGAGCUGCCCCCGCAACGGUAAGCAAGACGAACGAUCCGCAACGAAGCCACUGUGCGCAUGCAUGGGAAGGCGCGGAUCGGAGGGCUGGAGGCCCUCGCUUGCGAGCCCGGAGACCGGCCUGAGGCUGACCCGACAC